AUAAUGAAACUUCCGUACAGUCACAGCGCCCCUUGACCGGGGAAUCAAGCAAUGAGGGCGGCUCUGUGAGAACCACAGAGGGAUGAGAUUUCCAUGA
rnacentral:ncRNA from 1 species